AUUGAACGCUGGCGGAAUGCUUUACACAUGCAAGUCGAACGGCAGCACGGGGCAACCUGGUGGCGAGUGGCGAACGGGUGAGUAAUAUAUCGGAACGUGCCCAAUCGUGGGGGAUAACGUAGCGAAAGUUACGCUAAUACCGCAUACGAUCUACGGAUGAAAGCGGGGGAUCGCAAGACCUCGCGCGAAUGGAGCGGCCGAUAUCAGAUUAGGUAGUUGGUGGGGUAAAGGCUCACCAAGCCAACGAUCUGUAGCUGGUCUGAGAGGACGACCAGCCACACUGGAACUGAGACACGGUCCAGACUCCUACGGGAGGCAGCAGUGGGGAAUUUUGGACAAUGGGCGCAAGCCUGAUCCAGCAACGCCGCGUGAGGGAUGACGGCC
rnacentral:rRNA from 1 species